GAGAAUGUUUAAAGUCAGACAAAGGGGGGAUAAGAGGUGGAAAGGACAACAGAGAACCAGUGACAUUGUUAAAUAUUCAGCCUGCCCUGCAACGGUAUUGCUCAUUUUCUUCCUGCUGCAUCAACAACAAAUUGAUGCGAAAACUCAUUCAGCAUAUUCUCGCCCGUGGAGCAGCCGAGCACGCAGGCAACAAUAAACAACAGAGAGACAUAAAAUGGCAAGUCUAUAAAUCAGACUUCUGCCUCCCUUCGACUCUACCACCCCUAACUCUCCCUGGAGAAGCAAGGCAGGCCUAAAUACACACUAAAUCCACUUUAGAGCCUUAGCACAACAGAAAUUUACAUUUUAAAUUGAGAAUCAUGGACAGCCUCUGGCAGAUCAGCUACACUGCUGCUCAGUCUCCAUAGCAACAGAGACAGCGAAAGCCCAUUAGGUGGUUUAGGAACGCUACCAUGUCAUUUUGUCUUUGUGAAGUACAACGUCCACGAAUAAAGGCGUUCGCUUCAAGCCAGCUCAAAUGGAGUCACAUCUGUGAUGGCAUCAGCUUCCGCUGGAGAGAGACCUACUUUGCUUUUACAGCCAGGCACUGAAGCCCAUGAGGACAAUCCAGCAAGCCCCUCCCAAAGCAGCGAUGAAGGCCGGCUGCUUCACCACAUCUGAGAUGCUGUUGUUGCUGUCCGAUCCUGUCAUUACGUCCCUCAGUUCUGCACCUGG